AACAUUGAAUCUAUUGCAGAGAACAGAACCGGCAACAUUAGCUAAUAGCCUAAACAUUACAUACCCUGAGCUGAGGUCUUGCAGACACAAAGAGAUGCUGCCUCUCAAUUCUUGCAGUUAUCAGCCACAAUCAACACGAAGCAGGAAUGAUUUGCAGCGAGUAGACCAGCUCGUCAAUGCGAUUGGAAAUUCAACGUUAUCUCUAGGUUCUAAGGAGUGAGAGUUGGGAAAUAUCUUGUUGAAAGAUCAUGCUGAAUGUGGCGGCUCCAUUUGGUACAAGGGAAGGCAUGGAACGUGAGUCCACGUGCAUCACAGAGUCCUCCCGAGGAUCACCAUGGAGUCGGACCAAACCAUUUGAUGCCAAUGCAAGGAUGGAGUCAUUAUCCCUCAUCCAGCCAACUGAGAGCUGGUGAUUCUGCAGGGCAAUGCUUGCCUUCAACUAUUCAUGACUCAACAUCUCUUGGACCUGGCCUGUUCUCAGCUAAAUGUGGAGGUCUGAGGGGUGUGAGAUUCCAACCUUCACGUGGUCCGCCCUGUUUCGACGAAUGCAAUCAAACUGGCGUGCACAAUGAAAUAGGAUCAAAUAGAACAACUUAUCCUACAACUUUCGGCUGUGCACGCCAUACGCAAGAAGAAGAAGAAGAUCUACGCUAUAUACACUAGGAGCAAUUUACAGAGGGCCAGUUAACCUACAAACUUUCACACCUUUGAGAAGUGGGAGGGAACCAGAGCAGCCAGAGGAAACCCACACAGCCACAGGGAGAACGUGCAAACUCCACACGGACAGCACCCGAGGACAGGAUCGUACCCGGGUCUCCAGCACUGCGAGGCAACAGCUCUAUGUGCUGCACCACUGUGCCACAUGAAAUGAAGAGGAACCACCAAGAAAAUAUGGAUAAGAUAAUUACCUAAAUAAUUGUAUCUGGGAUUAAAUCUCAGUACUUGUGAAGUAAUGUAUUUUGAUAACACAAUGUGGGGAAACAUUGGGAAAAGUUUUCAAGACAUUUCAGGCCUAUGAAGUGUAAAUGUGUUUACUGUUCUACACUAAGGCGCAUGGGAUUUAACAGCCAAGAUAUUAUUUUGAACCUAAGUAAAAUAAAGAACCAAAGAUAUGGGAACUGAGACAGCCAGUAUGGCCCCGAAGUCUGAAGAAGAGUCCUGACAGGAAAGUGUCACCUAUCCAUGUUCUCCAGAGAUGCUGCCUGACCCACAAAGUUACUCCAGCAUUUUGUGUCCUUUAGUAUGAUUCCCAACCUGCUGUGAUUUUGGCCACAGUUCCACAUUCCUACCUGAUUCCCAUAAUCCUUGACACCUUUACUUAACUAAGCCGUGAAUGUUUGCAAUAACCCAGCCUAUCUCAGAUCACAGUUGGAAUAUUACCAAGUUAAUUCCCAAGAAUAUUGCCAUGUUCGGGUGAUAGAGAGGAUCUACUUUCAAUUCUCUCUUCACCAGACAUAGAAACAUAGAAACAUAGAAAAUAAGUGCAGUAAUAGGCCAUUCGGCCCUUCGAGCCUGCACCGCCAUUCAAUAUGAUCAUGGCUGAUCAUCCAACUCAGUAUCCUGUACCUGCCUUCUCUCCAUACCCCCUGAUCUCUUUAGCCACAAGGGCCACAUCUAACUCCCUCUAACAUGGUAGAGACUUGAAGGAAAGAGAUAUGUGGCACGGCGGCGCGCCGGUAGAGUUGCUGCCUCACAGUGCUUGAGACCCAGGUUCAAUCCUGACCAUGGGUGUUGUCUGAAAAAAGUCUGUAUGUGAUCACUGUGACCACGUGGGCUUUCCCCGGGUGCUCUGGUUUCCUCCCACACUCCAAAUACGUACAAGUUUGUAGGUUACUUGGCUUCAGUAAAAAUUGUAAAAUGUCCUUGGUGUGUAGGAUAGUGCUAGUGUAUGGGGAUCGACGGUCGGCACGGACUCGGUUGGCUGAAGGGCCAGUUUCUGGACUAUCUCUAAACUAGACUAAACUAAUGAUAUCUGCUGCCACAUGGUGUGUAGAGAUGAAUGGCAUAGAUGUCUUUAGAGAAGUACAGGUGAGAUAAAGUAUAGAAAUAUGUGAUGACUGAAGUAGUAGAGUUGCUGCUUUACACCUCCAGUGACAGUUCAAUCCUGACCUCAGGUGCUGACUGUGUGGAGUUUGCACGCUCUCCCUCUACCUGCCCCACUGUGCUGCCCUGAAAGCCUUUACAACCCUCUCGCCAAAGUUUAUCCUGCUCUGAUGAAACGAGGGCAAGCUGAAAUAGUAAUUCUGUUUAUAUCUGUGUAGAUGCUGCCUGACCUUCAGAGUAUUUCCAAUACAUUCUGUCUUUACUUGAAGCAAAUAGGGUUGUACCUCUCCCGUAAACACCAUUACCACGAGUCAGGGCAAAUGUACAGGGCUCCCUCGUGAAGCACUUGCUGGAAAACAUUUUGGGGGAAAUAUGUCAGCAUAAUUGAAGUAAAAAAACCAUAGACAUUUCAAAAGAAUAUUUUCAUAACAUAAGCAAUUCAAGAUCAAAAUAAACCAUUUGAAAAGCCAGUACCAUUAAUCAGGUCUGAUGUGGAAGAUAGAACGAAGGGGAGGUUGGUUCUGAAUGCACUGGGAUGAAGGGAUAUUAAUAAGAUUAAGGCAAAGGAGGAUGAUUGCCUCACCGCAGUGGACAUAAAUCUCCCCUGCAGUCUUAACCCUUUCUUUGUCGUGUCCUCAAGGCUUCUAUCAACAAGGAUGUGUCAUUCACACAGAUUUACGAUGGUUGGGAAUAUGUUUUAAUAGUAAGAUUAAACGAGGACUUACCAGUUUGAAGUUUGAUCUGUAUUUUAUGAGGAGUUACGAUGAGGGAUUACGUGAAGAACCCGUCCAGCACGCAUGCGCGACAUACUUCAAAGCAGCGGUGUGGAAUCACAGACAGACACAGUAAUCGAAAUAAACAUAGUAAAGAAAAGGAGAGCUUAGAUACCAGUUUGAUCUCUAUUAUUGAGCGUGGGAGCGGAGGGCACGUAAUCCCUCAUCGUAACUCCUCAUAAAAUACAGAUCAAACUUCAAACUGGUAAGUUCUCGAUUAAUCUUACUAUUUUACUUCGGAAUCACGUGAGUGACUACGUGAAGAUUUUAAAGCACUGUGAUUUCAAACCGUGUAACAGUUCAUACUUCACUCACUGCCGAAGCCACUUGAGGGAGGAAGUGUGUUAUCGUAAUCAACCAAUGAAUCUGUUUGUAAAAACAAUAAUGGUAUUUAUUAACAAUAACAAAAAAACAAAUUGUUCCCCCGAGCUUAAAUUAUAUAUUUGCAGAUUGUAAUAUUUUCUCUGCAAAUAAAGCAGGUUUUGCCAACGGCUUAUUAUAAAAAGUUCUGAACGUUCUUUCCCCAGGCCACCCCGCUGUAGCCAGGAUGUGGUCUAUUGGUAUUUCCAUUCUCUUAGCUGCCGAUGUGGAUGCUGCCCUGGUGGAGUGCGAUUUGUACAUGUUAGUAUUUAUACCAGCAGCUUUCAGCACCUGCUUGAGCCAUCUAGAAAUGGUUUGGCUCGUCACCUGACCAUAAGGUUUCUUGUGGCUGACCCAUAAGGCUUUUUCACUCCCUCAAUGGAUUUUAGUUGUGUCUAUAUAGUACAGUAGGUGGGUUAUGGCACAUAACCGUGGUUCUGGUGGGUAGGCCCGGAAUUCCAUGACUGGAUUAGAUGUUCCUGGCCUGCUCUGUUUGACCAGCCCCUGGAUAGCAAAUGAGACAUGGUCUGGAGUUAUGAUCAUGUUUUCAAGUCGUAAAAGGUGAAGUGACUGGACUCUUUGUGCUGACACACGUGCCAUCAGCAUGAUCGGCUUGAGAGUUAAUUGUUCCAGGGUGAGGGACCUGGCUGGUGACCAUCCCCUGAGGUAUGUCAGGACCACACUGACAUCCCAGAUAUGGGUGUACCUAGGUCUAGGGGGGUUAGAGUUGAAUAUCCUCCUCAUGAGUUUGACCACCAGCGGGUGGGACCCCAUGGCCUGUUGCCCUGGUGCCUGUAUUAAAUAGGCAGACAGAGCACUUCUGGCUGUGUUGAUGGCGCUGUAGCUGAGUCCUUCAUUGUGGUAAAGGCCUGCCAGGAACUCCAGUACAUCGGUGACUGUUGUGGUUGAAUAGGUUGUUCCUGUAUCCAAACAGUAUUUCUCCCACUUCUUGAUACUAGACAAGUACUGUUUCCUUGUGGAUACACGGUGGGAUGCUGUCAUGGUGUUGAUGGUGUUUUCUGACAAUCCCAGGCCCAGCAAAGGCCUUUUCAAAAUUUACAACCCAGGCGUUUGUUUUAUCAUGGCAUGGGUGGCUUGUGCCAGAUACUGGAUGGGUUAGCAAUUCUGGGUUACUGGGAAAAGUCAUAGGGGUCUCAACGAUCAUGUCGAGGAGCACUGGGAACCAUUGCUGAGUAGGCCAGUCGGGUACUAUCAAAAUACCUAAAGCAGAGUCCAUUUGUAUUUUGCGUAGUACCCGACUGAUGAGGCAGAAGGGAGGAAAUGCAUAAAAGAAGAAAUUUCCCCAGUCCAGCACGAACGCAUCUACCGCUGCUGCCCCAGGGUCUAGUUCCAAAGCGACAUACAUAGGAACCUGGUGAUUUAGUCUGGAUGCAAAUAGAUCGAUAUCUGGCGUACCAUAUUGCUUGGUAAUUUUAGCAAAUACUUUGGGAUUUAACAUCCAUUCGGUGUUGUCAUUGAAUUUGCGUGACCUGGUGUCUGCCACUGUAUUUAGCUUACCCGGCAGGUAAGUUGCUGAUAGCCAAAUAUGUCUGUCGACACACCAUUGCCAGAUUGGGUUUACCAAUUUGUCGCAUGAUAUCGAUUUUAUGCCGCCCGUAUGGUUAAUAUAGGCCAUCACCGUAGUAUUAUCUAUUUGUAACCGAACAUGCAAGUGAUGCAUAUUUGUUGAAUAUGCUUUUAAUCCAUAAAAUCGCUUGGUUUGACUAAUUAGCAUUGAUUUCCCUGAGCCAUUGGCAAGGAUGGUGAAAGGCGCUGAUCUUAAUCUAUGUCGCGUGCAGAAAGGAACUUUGGCAUGGUGGUGCUGUUUCUGUAACACAAACUUGUGUUUUUAAGAAAUGCCUUCCAUUACAAUGUGAACUACUUUAAACUUUGCCCCUCUCAACACUAGACCAGACUAGAUAAGGGCAGCAGUAGUUUUUCUCCCUUGGACGACUUUGGUGAAUCGUAGCCACAGAGUUAAGCAGCCUAACCUAUUCAUGCUGACCAAGAUGUCCAUCUGAGCUAGUCCCAUUUGACUGCAUUCAACCUUAUCCCUCUAAACCUUUUCUAUCCAAUACCAAUCCAAAUCUAAGUUAACCUCGGUUCACCACAUUAAUUCCCGGGAUGGCGGGACAAUCAUAUGAUGAAAGAAUGGGUCGACUGGGCUUGUAUUCAUUGGAAUUUAGAAGGAUGAGAGGAGAUCUUAUAGAAACAUACCAAAUUCUUGAGGGAUUUCAAGAGAGAGCUAAAUAAGGCUCUUAAAAAUAGCGGAAUCAGGGGAUAUGGGGAGAAGGCAGGAACGGGGUACUGAUUGGGGAUGAUCAGCCAUGAUCACAUUGAAUGGCGGUGCUGGCUCGAAGGGCCGAAUGACCUACUCCUGCACCUAUUGUUUAUUGUCUAUUGUCUAUUGAUUGGAUAGGCAAGAUGCAGGAGAAAUGUUCCCGAUGUUGGGGCAGUUCAGAACCAGGGGUCACAGUUUACGAAUAAGGGGUAGGUCAUUUAGGACUGAGAUGAGGAAAAACCCUUUCAUCCAGAGAGUUGUGAAUCUGUGGAAUCAUCUGCCACAGAAGGCAGUGGAGGCCAAUUCACUGGAUGUUUUCAAGAGGGAGUUAGAUUUAGCUCUUAGGGCAAAGGUAAUCGAGGAAUAUGGGGAUAAAACAGGAACGGGGUACUGAUUUUAGAUGAUCAGCCAUGAUCAUAUUGAAUGAUGGUGCUGGCUUGAAGGGCCAAAUGGCCUACUCCUUCACCUAUUUUUCUGUGUUUCUAUGUUUGUAUGUCUUUUAGAUAUUUCAAUUGUAUUCACCUGCAUUAGUUCCUCCAGGAGCUCAUUACGUAUAUGUUCCACCCCGUUAGUGGAACGAGGCUUUAUUUUAACACUUCAGUAAAAAUAAGCCACGUCAGGCAAUGCAAUACUCCUUCAGAUUUAAUAUUCAAGUUUCAACUCAAAGCAUUACGACAAAGGUGAACAUGGUUCAAAAUGCAUUUUAAAGCUACGAACAAGGAAAACAGAGACAGUGUCAUUCAGAAACAAGCAGGACAAGUACAUGGAUAGGAAAGGUUUAGAGGGAUGUGGAUCAUAUAGGACUAGCUUAGAAGGGGGCAUCUAGGUUAUAUGGACAAUUUGGGCUGCAGGGCUCGUUUCCAUGUUGUAUGACUAUGGCUCUAUGACUAUCAGGGGAUGGACAAUAAAAGCCAGGUUUGGCCUCAUGUAAUAAGAGACAUUCAAAAGAUAAACAGUGGGACUUGGCCUUCAUUUAUCCUGCAAUUGACAGAGGAUCUUGUAAAUAAUGGUGUCUCGUAACCUGCAAGUUGUCCACCACGGUUCCUGCACCAACAAUUCUAAAGCACAUUGUUAGCAACCAUCUUGUUUUGCUGGAGGUUCUAAAAUGUGACUUGCAGAAGAUUGGAGUUCUCUGAGACUGAAAAACUUAUUUUUCAACAAUACAACUAUAAGUUAAAGUGGCCAAUCAUCUCAAUCAUGAUCGCGUGGUGUAUAAAAUGGUUGCCACCUUUUACUGCAAAUAGGCAGUGACUAAGUCUCAAAGUUAUUUGCUGAAUGUAAAUGUUGUGAGAUGGUUCUUAUCAACAUUAAUGUUGCACGAUCUUUUGUUCUAUCAAUGCGUUUGAAUAAUAAACAUUUAUUCCUCUUUAAACACCAAAGAGUAUCAACUACUUGGAAACAAUAUGGGUGAGUUUCUGAAGUUGUUUUUGGAAGCAUUUGGGUUAAAAUCAUGGUUUAAUAUGGGCAAUGCACAUUUUAUUUAGGAAAAAAGUCAUUGAAGAUAUACUCUGAAGGGAAAAUCUUAUAAAAUCAUAAUUAACCCAAAAUGUUUCCCUCUGCCAUAGGUCAGAUAUCAAUUACUUUAAUGAAAAACAGAUUGAUUUUCCAUUUGAAUCCACUGAGUAUAAAGUAAAAUAAAAUCUGUGAUUAUUAAAAGCAACAUUUUGAUGGGACCAGUCAGCAUACGAGGAAAGUUAACUGAUACCAUCUACAGUCAGAGUUCUACAAAAUGUGGGUACAUAUUAACUGGCAUCUGCAGACAGUGUUUCAAAAGGGAUUACACAUUUGCAUGGCAAUCGCUAUUCGGCACCAGCCUGCAGAGAUCAUGUAUGUCUGGAGUCAGGGCUCCAAUGUUUGGGAUCGUUCGUUUGGUUACCCAGUCAUGCCCGCUGCUUCUGAGUAGCCUGUUACAGACCAUCUACUCAGGGGGAUACAUUUCACUUCAGGGUGACUUAAUCCAAAUUAGAUCGUUUGGGAAAGGAAUACUCACAAUAAAUCUCAGACAGCAUCCCAUUUCUUUGUUAAAUUAAGGAUAUUUCUGCCUAUACCUGUAUGAGUCUGGAUGAGUAAUACAUGUAUAUUUUGAGUUUUUUUAAUAUUAAAUGCACUGAGAUAAUACAGAAGAUAGGCACGAAGUGCUGGAGAAACUCAGCGGGUCAGGCAGCAUCUCUGGAGAAAAGGAAUAGAUGACGUUUUG